AUUGAACGCUGGCGGAAUGCUUUACACAUGCAAGUCGAACGGUAGACGGGGGCAACCCCUUGAGAGUGGCGAACGGGUGAGUAAUAUAUCGGAACGUGCCCAGUCGUGGGGGAUAACGUAGCGAAAGUUACGCUAAUACCGCAUACGAUCUAAGGAUGAAAGCGGGGGACCGUAAGGCCUCGCGCGAUUGGAGCGGCCGAUAUCAGAUUAGGUAGUUGGUGGGGUAAAGGCUCACCAAGCCAACGAUCUGUAGCUGGUCUGAGAGGACGACCAGCCACACUGGAACUGAGACACGGUCCAGACUCCUACGGGAGGCAGCAGUGGGGAAUUUUGGACAAUGGACGCAAGUCUGAUCCAGCCAUUCCGCGUGCAGGAUGAAGGCCCUCGGGUUGUAAACUGCUUUUGUACGGAACGAAAAGGUUUCUCUUAAUACGAGGGGCUCAUGACGGUACCGUAAGAAUAAGCACCGGCUAACUACGUG
rnacentral:rRNA from 1 species